rnacentral:tRNA from 1 species
AUUUAUGUAGUAUAAAGUAUAUGUGGCUUCCAACUACAAGGUCUAGAAAUUAGUAUAAAUA